rnacentral:rRNA from 1 species
AAUAUUGCGCAAUGGUGGAAACUCUGUCGCAGCGACGCCGCGCGAGCGAUGAAGGUCUUCGGAUCGUAAAUCUCUGUUUUCGGGGAAGAAGAUCGAGAGAUUUGACGGUACCCUAGGAGGAAGCCCCAGCUAAUUACGUUCCAGCAGCCGCGGUAAUACGUAGGGGGCACUCGUUGUCCGGAAUUAUUGGGCGUAAAGGGUGCGUAGGCGGCUUAUUAAGUCAGAUGUGAAAGACCACGGCUUAACCGUGGGGUUGCAUUUGAAACUGGAAGGCUUGAGUAUCGGAGAAGGUAGUGGAAAUCCCAGUGGAGCGGUGAAAUGCGUAGAUAUUGGGAGGAACACCAGUGGCGAAGGCGACUACCUGGACGAAAACUGACGCUGAUGCACGAAAGCUAGGGGAGCAAACA